CUACACCGGCGCAAAUUCUCCGGCCAGAUCCAAAAGGAAGAAAGCUAUAGUCAGUUCCAUGGAAAUCACAAGACUUCUUAUCAAGAAACCUCUCGGGACGAAAUUCGUUCGGGUUUUCCCACACAUUUGGGUCUCUUUGAAUAGACCAAACAUUGAUGAAGAUUUUAGUGUCCUUAGGGACGGUGUAACCGCCGACCACAGCUGUUUCAGCUGGACGGUGAGGGACUAACAAAGGAACGGUCGGGUAAAGCCUAAGUGUUUCUUUCAUAAUGGCUACUAUGUAAGGUAGUCUAGUGAUGUGUGAUUCUUCAACAAUGUUAUCCUUUCCUACAACUUCGUCUAGCUCUUGUUGCGCUCUCUUCAUCGACUCUGGGUUCUUUAUAAGCUCGGCCAUCGCAAACUCUAUCGUGUUUGUAGAUGUAUCAGUACCACCAAUCACCAUAUCCUUCGCAUAUACAGUACGUAUAUAACAAACAUGAAUCAAAAUCAUUCUCAUGAGCUAAGAGACAUGUUAUGAAACAAUUAAGGGCAAAUCUCUAAAAAUAACAUAAAAGAUUGUUUUUAUGACCAAAAGAACACAGAAAAAAUGACUAAAUUAAAUAUGUUUCAUUAAAAAGGUAAAUAACAAUUAUAUUUCUACUUAAAUAUUUUUAAAAGAGAUUUUCGCAAUAAACUGAAUUUUUUAUUUAAAAAAAAAUAUUCUAAUUUUUUCUCUCCAAAAGAACCAGAACAACCCAAAAUUAAACUCUUGGGGGAGGAGUAUAAAUGUCUUUUACUCUUCAAUAAAAUCUAUUUUAGUUAUUUUGAUUUUGAAAACUAUUUUUGUGAUAAAAACUUUUUAGUACUGCUAUAUUUCUCAACAGUUAAUUACCGCGAGAACAGCUUUGACAUGGUUAACCGUAAUGGGAACCUCCGAGUUGGCUUCUUGGUCCUUUAGCUUCAUCAACUGUUGCAAAAAGUCUUUGCACUCACCAUCAUCCUUACUUUCUAGUUUUGGCAUCUUCUCAAUGGCUCCGUCGAAUAUGGCAAGACAGUCAGUUUAGUGUUUCUUUGUUAUUUAUUACCCUGUUCUGCUGUUAAAAUCUUUGUUUGUUUUCCUUUUUAAGCUUGGGUGGAUCUCUUGAUCUUUUUUUCGGUUUCUCUUGUAUGUUGUGUAAGUUGACAGACGAAGCAAGAGUUCUGUGUUUCUUUGUAUGAUGUUUCAAGUAACUACACUUUUGAGAGAAAAGUUUGGGGUUGGGAUUAAACCAGUGUGGCUUUCAAUAUUCCCAGUUUUGCUCCCUUUUAUUUACAGCCCCUGUUUUGGUCUGCUUUAAGACAUUUAUUUUCCUACCACUCUACAACAGCGUGAAUGGUGAUGGGCUGUUGAUAACUUUAUGCCGGAAACUACUAUGUUAUCUGGCCUUGAAAUAUUUUUCUCGAAAAUUAAAGAAAAGAGAAUGAUAUCGAGCAGGUAUGAAGUGUUUAAAGUGAUUUUAAUUAAAAUUAUAAAUAAUUAUCAUUGAAAAAUAUAUAUGUUUUAUAAAUGAAAAUAUGUGUUUUUAAGUUUACAAUCUGAAAAAUAUUUUAAAUAGGUGAUUUAUAAAGAUUGAUCGUAACAUUAGUGUAUUUUGUUGUAAUUCUUAAACAAAACAUAAAAAUGAAAAAAUUAUUUUGGACUGGCUUUAAGAUAUUUUAAUUUCAUUAUAAUAUUUUUAAUUCAACUAAACUAUCUUAAACUCAUUAAAAACAUAAGAAAAAAAACUAGAUGAAUACACAUUUCUAGAUGUUUUUUUUUUUCCCAUAUAGAACUUAAAGAAAAAAACUAUAAACAUUUCGAAAAUUGGGUUCUUGGUAUUGUUAUGUUUUUAUUCAGACUUCUUUUGUUUCUUAGUUCGACUUGGGGCAUAACAGUCUGAACUACUCCUCGGCAAAAACUACAAAACCAAAUUCUAUAAAUCCGAUUCAGGUCGGGUACGGGUUUGAUUUCCAUCCUUCCCUCCGUCAGUUUGAAUACUCCGGCAAUGUUUUCUCGAUUCCUCCACAGGAUCCGAAGUUCAAAAACCCCAAUCACGUCUCUCAAUUCAAUCAAACCUUUCACCUCGCUCAACCCUAAACCCCCAACCCGAGUCGCCGUCUUCUGGGACCUAGACAACAAACCACCCGCCUCCCACCCUCCCCACGACGCCGCCGUAAAGCUCCGAACCGCCGCGUCAUCCUUCGGCUCCGUGAAACUAAUGGUGGCCUACGCGAACCGCCACGCCUUCAGCUACGUCCCCGCGCAAGUCCGAGAGGAGAGGAAAGAUCGGAGACUCCUUAACCAACUGGAGAAAACCGGUUUAGCUAAACCGGCCGAGCCGUACUUCUGCGGCGUCUGCGACCGGAGAUUCUACGCCAACGAGAAGCUCAUCGCUCAUUUCCGCCAGAUCCACGAGACGGAGAAUCAGAAGCGCGUGAGGCAGAUCGAGGCUGCUAAGGGGCAUCAGAGAGUGAGGCUUGUGGCCAAGUACUCGAUGAAGAUGGAGAAGUACAAACGAGCUGCGAGGAACGUUUUGACUCCUAAGGAAGGUUACGGUUUAGCUGAUGAGCUGAAGCGUGGCGGGUUUUGGGUUAAGAUGGUGAGUGAUAAGCCCGAGGCGGCGGAUAGAGCGUUGAAGGAGCAUAUGGUUGAUGUGAUGGAUAGGAGGGAGGCUGAGUGUUUGGUUCUCGUGUCUGAUGACUCUGGUUUCGCUGAGGUUUUGUGGGAGGCGAAGGAGAGGUGUUUGAGGACGGUGGUGAUUGGGGAUUUGAGUGAAGGGAAGCUGAAGAGGGUGGCUGACGUGGCGUAUUCGUGGAAGGAGGUUGUGAUGGGGAAGGCGAAGAAGGAAGUUGAGAAGGUUGUUGGGAAGUGGAGGGAUAGAGAUGUGUUGAAGACGUUGGAGUGGAGUUAUGAUCCUGUUUUGGAGAAGGAGAGAGGUUUUUGUUGCGGGGAUUGGGAUUAUGGGUUUGAUUCUGAUGGUGAUGAUGAUGAGGUUGAGAAUGGAGCUGAGAUGGGAGAUGGUGGUGAUUGGUGGGAGAUGGAUGAUGAAGAUGGUGCUGGAUCUUCGAGACCCUGUCGAUGAACCUCCAUAGCAUUGGUUGUACAGAUCGAGGAUAAAUCAGUACGAUCUUGUGAAGCUAUUGUCGUAUUACAUGGUUGGCAGUAGCAAAAGAGAAGAAAGAAGAAAACUGAGUGGGAGAGAUUGAAAAUUCUUCACUCUAGUAAGCUCUCUUUGAAAGUUUAUGUUCUUCAUUCAUUGUCUCUAGUUGUCUGAGAUUCUAUAGGCAGCGAUUCAAUUUGUUUUUCCAAACCAUCAAAUGGUUAGUCAGGAUAGAGAACAGGAUACGGUGCAUAGAAAGUUUUGGAUUUACAGAAUAGAUUGAAUUACUACAGAGUGUAUAUGCAUCAAAGUCCCUAGCUAGUUUAUUUUAAUUUUUUUCUGUUUUUGGUAAAUAAGGUAGAAGAACUACACUGUCCACCCUAGCAUCGGUUCGGUUUAUUAUAGUUUUUGUUUUUUUUUGUUUUUGUUCUAGAAAUAUAGGAUCCUUUUGGGUCUUUAGGAAAUCCAGUUAGAUUUUUGGUUCGGUUCGUGUAAUACAAAUGGGAAUCGGCUAAUACCCGAGAUAAUUUCGAAUCCAAUUCGGUUCCGAUUCGGUUCCAGUUUUUUGAGUUAAUGCGGGUGUUAAACAAGAAAAUUCAGGUUUUUAGAUUAAAUAUCAGAUUUUUAGUUUUUCGGAUAAAAACUCGUAUAUUUCGGAUAAUUUGAUAUAUUUUGGACAAAAAAUAUUCGGAUAAUUUGGUCUAUUUUAUUUUUAAAAUAUUUGAUUAUUUUAAAAUAGAAAAUUGUUAAUAUUUAUAAGUUAUAUAAAUUAUAGUAUCUGUUUGUGCAAUGAUAGGAUCUAAAUCCGAACCAAAAUCAUGUAAUUGUAAGCUAUCAAAAUUUAUAUUAAAGAAGUGUGGACUGAUAUGAAGCUAAUAUCAAAGCAUGUAAGUUAAACAAAUGCUCCUUAUUCAAUAAUUUUGUUAUUUUUAACCGAAACUGGUGAUUAUUUUUAUGACAAAAAACAUAGAUGACGUCCGAAAACUACAUAAACACAACGAUCUUAGCUUCUACCAAACAUAGGUUAGGAUCAGACAACCUUGAAACAGGCAUGGCAAUAAGAGGGUUUUUGAGCUUUAAGACAAUACCAAACUUGUCUUCCACAUUGAACACAUGGCCUUCUGGAAUCUUCAAAUCAAAUGAAUGUAACAGCGUGGCAAGAGUGUACUGAACCAUCCUCUCUGCUAGUGCUAAACCGGCGCAAAUCCUCCGGCCAGAUCCAAAAGGAAGAAAGCUAUAGUCAGUUCCAUGGAAAUCACAAGACUUCUUAUCAAGAAACCUCUCAGGAUGAAACUCAUUCGGAUUUUCCCACACGUUUGGAUCUCUCUGAAUAGACCAGACAUUGAUGAAGAUCUUAGUGUCCUUAGGGACUGUGUAACCGCCGACCACAGUUGUUUCUGCUGGACGGUGAGGGACUAACAAAGGAACGGUCG
rnacentral:lncRNA from 1 species